GAUGAACGCUAGCGGCAGGCUUAACACAUGCAAGUCGAGGGGUAUAUGUCUUCGGAUAUAGAGACCGGCGCACGGGUGCGUAACGCGUAUGCAAUCUACCUUUUACAGAGGGAUAGCCCAGAGAAAUUUGGAUUAAUACCUCAUAGCAUAGCAGCUUCGCAUGAAGCAGCUAUUAAAGUCACAACGGUAAAUAUGAGCAUGCGUCCCAUUAGCUAGUUGGUAAGGUAACGGCUUACCAAGGCUACGAUGGGUAGGGGUCCUGAGAGGGAGAUCCCCCANACUGGUACUGAGACACGGACCAGACUCCUACGGGAGCAGCAGUGAGGAAUAUUGGACAAUGGGCGCAAGCCUGAUCCAGCCAUGCCGCGUGCAGGAUGACGGUCCU
rnacentral:rRNA from 1 species